rnacentral:tRNA from 6 species
GGCGGCGUAGCUUAGUUGGUUAUAGCGAUCGGUUCAUACCCGAUAGGUCGUAGGUUCGAAUCCCACCGCCGCUACCA